rnacentral:rRNA from 1 species
AUCCUGGCUCAGAUUGAGACGCUGGCGGCAUGCCUUUACACAAGCAAGUCGGACGGCAGCACGGGGGCCAUCCCUGGUGGCGAGUGGCGAACGGGUGAGUAAAACAUUCGGAAACGUGUCCUGUAGUGGGGGAUAGCCCGGCGAAAGCCGGAUUAAUACCGCAUACGCUUUACGGAGGAAAGGGGGGGAUCUUAGGACCUCUCGCUACAGGGGCGGCCGAUGGCAGAUUAGCUAGUUGGUGGGGUAAAGGCCUACCAAGGCGACGAUCUGUAGCUGGUCUGAGAGGACGACCAGCCACACUGGGACUGAGACACGGCCCAGACUCCUACGGGAGGCAGCAGUGGGGAAUUUUGGACAAUGGGCGCAAGCCUGAUCCAGCAAUGCCGCGUGUGUGAAGAAGGCCUUCGGGUUGUAAAGCACUUUUGUCCGGAAAGAAAACCUCUGGGUUAAUACCCCGGGGGGAUGACGGUACCGGAAGAAUAGCAC